rnacentral:tRNA from 1 species
UUCUGGGUGGUGCAAAUGGUUAACGUGUUUGGCUGCUAACCAAAAGGUUGGAGGUGUGAAUCCACCCAGAAG